rnacentral:rRNA from 1 species
UACAGAGGCCUCGAGCGUUAGGCGGAAUCACUGGGCUUAAAGCGUGUGUAGGCGGCCUUCUAAGUACCUUGUGAAAUCCCACGGCUCACCCGUGGAACGGCUGGGUAUACUGGUCGUCUUGAGCCUUCUAGGGGCUGCCGGAACAAAUGGUGGAGCGGUGAAAUGCGUAGAUAUCGGGAGGAACACCAGUGGCGAAGGCGACCACCUGGGGUUGUUCUGACGCUGAGGAGCGAAAGCUAGGGGAGCAAACGGG